GGGGAAUAUUGGACAAUGGGCGCAAGCCUGAUCCAGCCAUGCCGCGUGAGUGAUGAAGGCCCUAGGGUUGUAAAGCUCUUUCGGCGGGGACGAUAAUGACGGUACCCGCAGAAGAAGCCCCGGCUAACUUCGUGCCAGCAGCCGCGGUAAUACGAAGGGGGCUAGCGUUGUUCGGAAUCACUGGGCGUAAAGCGCACGUAGGCGGAUUGUUAAGUCAGGGGUGAAAUCCCGAGGCCAACCUCGGAACUGCCUUUGAUACUGGCAAUCUUCGAGUCCGGGAGAGGUGAGUGGAACUCCGAGCGUAGAGGUGAAAUUCGUAGAUAUUCGGAAGAACACCAGUGGCGAAGGCGGCUCACUGGCCCGGUACUGACGCUGAGGUGCGAAAGCGUGGGGAGCAAAC
rnacentral:rRNA from 1 species